rnacentral:rRNA from 1 species
GACGAACGCUGGCGGCGUGCUUAACACAUGCAAGUCGAACGGAAAGGCCCUGCUUUUGUGGGGUGCUCGAGUGGCGAACGGGUGAGUAACACGUGAGUAACCUGCCCUUGACUUUGGGAUAACUUCAGGAAACUGGGGCUAAUACCGGAUAGGAGCUCCUGCUGCAUGGUGGGGGUUGGAAAGUUUCGGCGGUUGGGGAUGGACUCGCGGCUUAUCAGCUUGUUGGUGGGGUAGUGGCUUACCAAGGCUUUGACGGGUAGCCGGCCUGAGAGGGUGACCGGCCACAAUGGGACUGAGAUACGGCCCAGACUCCUACGGGAGGCAGCAGGGGGGAAUAUUGCACAAUGGGCGGAAGCCUGAUGCAGCAACGCCGCGGGCGGGAUGACGGCCUUCGGGGUGUAAACCGCUUUCGCCUGUGACGAAGCGUGAGUGACGGUAAUGGGUAAAGAAGCACCGGCUAACUACGUG